rnacentral:misc_RNA from 1 species
UUUCCGUAGGUGAACCUGCGGAAGGAUCAUUCAUAAUAAAGUGUUUUAUGGCACCUUUUAAAAAUCCAUUUCCACCUUGUGUGCAAUGUUAGAUCUCGUCAAUCUUGGCGAGAUUUUUAUACAUCAACUCAUUCUUUAACUAAUUUGUCUGAAAAAUAUUAUGAAUACUUAAUUCAAAAUACAACUUUCAACAACGGAUCUCUUGGCUCUC